UACGUACUGCGCGAACGUUGUUCGGAAUCACUGGGUAUAAAGGGUGCGUAGGCGGCCUUUCAGGUCCGAUGUGAAAUCCCCCGGCCUAACCGGGGAACUGCAUCGGAAACCGGAAGGCUUGAGCGGUCUAGGGGUGCGCGGAACUUCCGGUGGAGCGGUGAAAUGUGUUGAUAUCGGAAGGAACGCCGUUGGCGAAAGCGGCGCACUGGGGACAGGCUGACGCUGAGGCACGAAAGCUAGGGUAGCGAACGGG
rnacentral:rRNA from 1 species